rnacentral:rRNA from 1 species
AAGCACCGGCGGACGGCUCAGUAACACGUGGACAACCUGCCCUCGGGAGGGGGAUAACCCCGGGAAACUGGGGCUAAACCCCCAUAGGAGAUGGAUACUGGAAUGUUCCAUCUCCGAAAGUCCGCAAGGAGCCCGAGGAUGGGUCUGCGGCGGAUUAGGUAGUUGGUGGGGUAACGGCCUACCAAGCCUAAGAUCCGUACGGGCCAUGGGAGUGGGAGCCCGGAGAUGGACCCUGAGACAAGGGUCCAGGCCCUACGGGGCGCAGCAGGCGCGAAACCUCCGCAAUGCGGGAAACCGCGACGGGGUCAGCCGGAGUGCCGAUGCUUGCAUCGGCUGUCGGGGAGCCUAAAAAGCUCCCCAUAGCAAGGGCCGGGCAAGGCCGGUGGCAGCCGCCGCGGUAAUACCGGCGGCCCGAGUGGCGGUCACUAUUAUUGGGCUUAAAGCGUCCGUAGCCGGGUUGGGAAGUCCUCCGGGAAAUCUGGCCGCUUAACGGUCAGAAUGCCGGAGGAUACUCCCAGCCUAGGGAGCGGGAGAGGCCGAGGGUAUUCCCGGAGUAGGGGUGAAAUCCUAUAAUCCCGGGAGGACCACCUGUGGCGAAGG